GAUGAACGCUGGCGGCGUGCCUAAUACAUGCAAGUCGAGCGAACGGACGAGAAGCUUGCUUCUCUGAUGUUAGCGGCGGACGGGUGAGUAACACGUGGAUAACCCACCUAUAAGACUGGGAUAACUUCGGGAAACCGGAGCUAAUACCGGAUAAUAUUUUGAACCGCAUGGUUCAAAAGUGAAAGACGGUCUUGCUGUCACUUAUAGAUGGAUACGCGCUGCAUUAGCUAGUUGGUAAGGUAACGGCUUACCAAGGCAACGAUGCAUAGCCGACCUGAGAGGGUGAUCGGCCACACUGGAACUGAGACACGGUCCAGACUCCUACGGGAGGCAGCAGUAGGGAAUCUUCCGCAAUGGGCGAAAGCCUGACGGAGCAACGCCGCGUGAGUGAUGAAGGUCUUCGGAUCGUAAAACUCUGUUAUUAGGGAAGAACAUAUGUGUAAGUAACUGUGCACAUCUUGACGGUACCUAAUCAGAAAGCCACGGCUAACUACGUG
rnacentral:rRNA from 1 species